rnacentral:rRNA from 1 species
AUUGAACGCUGGCGGCAGGCCUAACACAUGCAAGUCGAACGAGUGGCGGACGGGUGAGUAAUGUCUGGGAAACUGCCUGAUGGAGGGGGAUAACUACUGGAAACGGUAGCUAAUACCGCAUACCAUCAGAUGUGCCCCGAUGGGAUUAGCUGGUUGGUGGGGUAACGGCUCACCAGGGCGACGAUCCCUAGCUGGUCUGAGAGGGUGACCAGCCACACGGGAACUGAGAAACGGUCCAGACUCUUACGGGAGGCAGCAGUGGGGAAGAUUGCACAAUGGGCGCAAGCCUGAUGCAGCCAUGCCGCGUGUAUGAAGAAGGCCUUCGGGUUGUAAAGUACUUUCAGCGUGGAGGCGUUACCCGCAGAAGAAGCACCGGCUAACUCCGUGCCAGCCGCCGCGGUAAUAC